rnacentral:tRNA from 1 species
UAGUUAAGCGGAUUUUAAAUAUGUAAAUGGCAGACUUAGGAUCUGGCGCCUCACGGCGUGAGGGUUCAAGUCCCUCCACUCGCACCA